AUUGAACGCUGGCGGCAGGCUUAACACAUGCAAGUCGAGCGGAGAUGAGGUGCUUGCACCUUAUCUUAGCGGCGGACGGGUGAGUAAUGCUUAGGAAUCUGCCUAUUAGUGGGGGACAACAUUCCGAAAGGGAUGCUAAUACCGCAUACGUCCUACGGGAGAAAGCAGGGGAUCUUCGGACCUUGCGCUAAUAGAUGAGCCUAGGUGGGAUUAGCUAGUUGGUGGGGUAAAGGCCUACCAAGGCGACGAUCUGUAGCGGGUCUGAGAGGGUGAUCCGCCACACUGGGACUGAGACACGGCCCAGACUCCUACGGGAGGCAGCAGUGGGAAAUAUUGGACAAUGGGGGGAACCCUGAUCCAGCCAUGCCGCGUGUGUGAAGAAGGCCUUAUUGUUGUAAAGCACUUUAAGCGAGGAGGAGGCUACUGAGACUAAUACUCUUGGAUAGUGGACGUUACUCGCAGAAUAAGCACCGGCUAACUCUGUGCCAGCGGCCGCAGUAACAC
rnacentral:rRNA from 1 species